GAUUAAGCUAUCCUCCUAGAUCAAACUAUCCUCUUAAAGAUGCUCUUGAAGAUCAAUACAUCUUUUUGAAGUCAAUACUCUGGUCAAACGACAUUCAAGUAAAGACUUUUGUUUCAAUGACACCAGUGGUUUAACCUCUCAACUCUGAGAUGACGAUAAUCAACAUGAAUAUAUCUCAAGUCUCGUUAAGAAGAUUCAGAGAUCUUGUAUGUUUCUAAACUCGCAAAUUUAAUGAUGUCAAGACUUGAAGCUUUAGAGUUGUGAAAUAGAGAAAUUGUGAAAGUUUUCCUAGUCAUGUCCAUUUGAGUGACCAUUACUUGUAAAGAUAAAAGGAUAUUUUUAG
rnacentral:lncRNA from 1 species